AAAAAGACAAACCCUGGUUUCCGUGUCCAACGUUUGACCGUCCGUCUUAUUUGAAAAAAUUAUGAAAAAAAAUUAAAAAGACAAGUCACACAUAAAAUAUUAAUCAUAUUUUUAUCAUCUAACAACAAUGAAAAUACGAAUUAUAAAAAAAAUUUAUAUAAGACGGACAGUUAAAGUUGGACACGGAAACCUAGGGUUUGUCUUUUU
rnacentral:pre_miRNA from 1 species